rnacentral:rRNA from 1 species
AUUGAACGCUGGCGGCAGGCUUAACACAUGCAAGUCGAACGAGUGGCGGACGGGUGAGUAAUGCUUGGGAAUCUGGCUUAUGGAGGGGGAUAACGACGGGAAACUGUCGCUAAUACCGCAUACCAUCAGAUGUGCCCAGAUGGGAUUAGCUAGUAGGUGGGGUAACGGCUCACCUAGGCGACGAUCCCUAGCUGGUCUGAGAGGAUGACCAGCAACAUUGGGACUGAGCCACGGUCCGGACUCCUACGGGAGGCAGCAGUGGGGAAUUGUGGACAAUGGGCGCAAGCCUGAUCCAGCCAUGCCGCGUGUCUGAAGAAGGCCUUCGGGUUGUAAAGGACUUUUGUCAGGGAAGCGGUACCUGAAGAAUAAGCACCGGCUAACUACGUGCCAGCCGCCGCGGUAAUAC